AAACUUUACAAUGCGGGAAACCGUGAUAAGGGGACACCGAGUGCUAGCAUCAUAUGCUGGCUGUCCAGGUGUGUAAAAUACACCUGUUAGCAAGGGCCGGGCAAGACCGGUGCCAGCCGCCGCGGUAACACCGGCGGCCCGAGUGGUGAUCGUGAUUAUUGGGUCUAAAGGGUCCGUAGCCGGUUUGGUCAGUCCUCCGGGAAAUCUGAUAGCUCAACUAUUAGGCUUUCGGGGGAUACUGCCAGGCUUGGAACCGGGAGAGGUAAGAGGUACUACAGGGGUAGGAGUGAAAUCUUGUAAUCCCUGUGGGACCACCUGUGGCGAAGGCGUCUUACCAGAACGGGUUCGACGGUGAGGGACGAAAGCUGGGGGCACGAACCGGAUUAGAUACCCGGGUAGUCCCAGCCGUAAACGAUGCUCGCUAGGUGUCAGGCAUGGCGCGACCGUGUCUGGUGCCGCAGGGAAGCCGUGAAGCGAGCCACCUGGGAAGUACGGCCGCAAGGCUGAAACUUAAAGGAAUUGGCGGGGGAGCACAACAACGGGUGGAGCCUGCGGUUU
rnacentral:rRNA from 1 species